GACGAACGCUGGCGGCGUGCUUAACACAUACAAGUCGAACGCUGAAGCUCAGCUUGCUGGGUGGAUGAGUGGCGAACGGGUGAGUAACACGUGAGUAACCUGCCCUCUUCUUUGGGAUAACGCCCGGAAACGGGUGCUAAUACUGGAUAUUCACUGAUUCUCGCAUGGGGGUUGGUGGAAAGGUUUUUUCUGGUGGGGGAUGGGCUCGCGGCCUAUCAGCUUGUUGGUGGGGUGAUGGCCUACCAAGGCUUUGACGGGUAGCCGGCCUGAGAGGGUGACCGGUCACAUUGGGACUGAGAUACGGCCCAGACUCCUACGGGAGGCAGCAGUGGGGAAUAUUGCACAAUGGGCGAAAGCCUGAUGCAGCGACGCCGCGUGAGGGAUGGAGGCCUUCGGGUUGUAAACCUCUUUCGCUCAUGGUCAAGCCGCAGCUUUGGGUUGUGGUGAGGGUAGUGGGUAAAGAAGCGCCGGCUAACUACGUG
rnacentral:rRNA from 1 species